rnacentral:lncRNA from 1 species
CCAACCUCUAUUAUAUUCUAUAGUUUUCUUGUGCACUUCCUCUUCGGAUGUGCUAUCCAGAUAUGCUAGCUUCUUCAUUGACAAACCAUUAUUUUUCUCCACGAUCGUCAUUAUCACCCUCUUGAAAUCAGACCUAUGCUAACUUUUUCUUCUCCUUUUCUUUUGAUACAGCUUCAUGGUGUCUCCACCAUCCCGUUGUUGUUCUCUUCUUCUUUGUCAUAGCAACUCUAUGUUAUUUUUAAAUUAGGAUUUUUCUUAGAACCACUCAUAUCUCUAGAAGCCAUCACUUCCG